rnacentral:rRNA from 1 species
UACGUAGGGGGGCAAGCGUUUGUCCGGAUUUAUUGGGCGUAAAGCGCGUGUAGGUGGCCAUGUAGGUCCGCUGUGAAAACUUGAGGCUCAACCUCAAGCUGUCGGUGGAAACCCCAUGGCUAGAGUCCGGAAGAGGAGAGUGGAAUUCCUGGUGUAGCGGUGAAAUGCGCAGAUAUCAGGAAGAACACCAAUGGCGAAGGCAGCUCUCUGGGGACGGGUACUGAC